GUCAGUGCAUUCGUACCGACCUCACAUAUUCUUCCAAUCUUUACAGAAAAAGAGAAACUUCGUAAUUCAGGUGGAUUCUAUGGUGAUAGAUGGAUGGAUCAAGAGUGGGGCACGUCUGCAAUGCUUACUGGAACUUGAUUUCAUCAUGAAUGGCAUCGCCUUCUCCACGAGAGCAUGGGAAAACUCCAUGGGCCAUGUAGGACAAUGCUUCCAUGAUUUAGGGUUCGCAGCAUUCUUUGGAUUUUGGUGCAGUAUCUUUGAAACCCUGAUCAUCUCUCUCUUUUAUUUAUUUAUUUUCACUGUACAAGCUAGCUACCACAUCUUCUUGUUCUUGAUGGAUCAUUGACUCGAUGUAGUUACUUACAAAAUGGCGAGACUUCUCAUCCACCAGUCACAAGUGAAUUUCUUCGUCGUUUUAUGAUCCUGUUUCCAUCAAAUUAAAAGUUAAAAAUGUGUUUUGGAAAGAAUUUUUUUUUUAUAAAUUCACAAUUCAUUAUAAGUGUUUUUUUAAUAAUCACAGAUAAUCCAACAUUAUACAUGUUUCGAAGAAGAAAAACCGGAGAGGGAAUAAAUUAUGCUGGCGAGCGAGAAGAAAAUUGAAGAAGAAAAGUAUUGUAUAUUCCUUUUAUUAUUGGUGAGGUGAAAAUUGGAGAGAGAAAA